rnacentral:rRNA from 1 species
GAUGAACGCUGGCGGUAUGCUUAACACAUGCAAGUCGAACGGACUCUUCGGAGUUUGUGGCGGACGGGUGAGUAACGCGUGAGACUCUGGCUUUGGGUUCGGGACAACCACUGGAAACGGUGGCUAAUACGGAAUCUGCCGGGAGGUAAGAUAGAAAUUGCCUGAAUAUGAGCUCGCGUCUGAUUAGCUAUUUGGUGAGGUAAAGACUCACAACGGCAGCGAGCAUUAGCUGGUCUGAGAGGAUGACCAGCCACACUGGGACUGCGACACGGCCCAGACGCCUACGGGAGGCAGCAGUGGAGAAUUUCCCGCAAUGGGCGAAAGACUGACGGAGCAAUACCGCGUGAGGGAAGAAGGCUCUUGGGUUGAAAACCUCUGUUCUUAGGGAAGAACAAAAUGACGGUACCUAAGGAAUCAGCAUCGGCUAACUCCGUG